rnacentral:rRNA from 1 species
UGGCGACCGGCGCACGGGUGAGUAACACGUAUCCAACCUGCCGAUGACUCGGGGAUAGCCUUUCGAAAGAAAGAUUAAUACCCGAUGGCAUAGUUCUUCCGCAUGGUAGAACUAUUAAAGAAUUUCGAUCAUCGAUGGGGAUGCGUUCCAUUAGCUUGUUGGCGGGGUAACGGCCCACCAAGGCAUCGAUGGAUAGGGGUUCUGAGAGGAAGGUCCCCCACAUUGGAACUGAGACACGGUCCAAACUCCUACGGAAGGCAGCAG